UUCGCCUCCCACUGCUUAAGCCAUUAAUCUUUCUAGAAUUGUUCUUUGAAACAGAUGCGACCUCACAAAAGAUGUUAAUGAUGCAGUUAACAAACUCCGUGAAGAGGUCAGAGCCAACCGCCAUCCCUGCUGCAAUGAAUCUGUAGAUGCUGGGGUAUUGCCUCUGGAUUUGCCCUUGCACAACAUGGAGGAGCUAAACAAUGCAGGGGCAGCUCUUCAAUCAGGCAAAUAAGGCAAUGGUGAGACGCUUUGCCUUGAUUGGAGGGACCACACUGGAGGUGCGAGUCCACCGCACCGCCAAAUGAGCUGGCCUCGGUACUCAACUGGGCAGGGGAAAAAACCAAGGACCUUACAGAGCAAAAAAGGGCAUUUAAAGAGACAGCGCUGUGCAGAUGCAUAUUUGAUGGCCUGAUCCAGCAGGUAGGGGCGAACUCUAUGUCUGAGUUGGUCUUUGCUUAAGCAGUCCAGAAGUGGCUCAGAUAAGCUCCAGAUCGUACGGGUGGCGCAGGACGCACAUCAUCCAUCCCCAUCCCGGAGUAAAUAAUAAAAAGUGACGUGAAACAUAGAAAUGUA